CAAAACGUAGCUUAAAUAAAGCAUCUCGCUUACACCGAAAAUAUAUCUGUUCGACUCAGAUCGUUUUGA
rnacentral:tRNA from 1 species